CUAUAUAUAUAUAUAUAUAUAUAUAUAUAUAUAUAUAUAUAUAUAUGUUUUUUUUAAUUGGGGUAGCCCCCAAAAUAUUGGGACAUAUAAAAAAUAUAAGCAAUACCGCCGAAAGUUUAGGGAGACCCGGAAAGGGGAGAAGGACUCCCAUGCAGAGUGGGCAUGCAGCAUCACAAGGGCCACCCAGAACUGGCUCAACUCCCAUCAAGCCAAGUUCCCGGAGGAGAUCACCCAGCUCGUCAUGCUAGAGCACUUUUUCAAUGGGAUCCCCAACGACAAGGUGACGACGCAUUCAUAUGUCAUCCAUAUCAACUUUCAAUGCCAUUUACUGUGCCUACCAUGGUGACCACGGGUAACGGGGAAUCAGGGUUCGAUUCCUGAGAGGGAGCCUGAGAAAUGGCUACCACAUGCAAGGGAGGCAGCAGG
rnacentral:rRNA from 1 species